rnacentral:rRNA from 1 species
UACGUAGGGGGCAAGCGUUGUCCGGAUUUAUUGGGCGUAAAGAGCGUGUAGGCGGUUCGGUAGGUCCGUUGUGAAAACUCGAGCUCAACCUCGAGCACGCCGAUGGAAACCCCCGAACUAGAGCUCCGGAAGAGGAGAAUGGAAUUCCUGGUGUAGCGGUGAAAUGCGCAGAUAUCAGGAAGAACACCCGUGGCUAAGGCGGUUCUCUAGUACGGUACUGACGCUGAGACGCGAAAGCGUGGGGAGCGAACAGG